CGUCAUCAUGAAAGGCCUGUCAUCUGCCUGGGCGGGACCACCUUGCUCUCUACCUGGUGGUCGGACGUGGGCAGGUCCUGGAAGAAGUGUUGCCCCGGGUCUGCCUCAUUCCCCCGGGGUGCUCAGUAAGGUGCAGCCCCAGCGCCAGAGCCUGCAACAGACAAGACGAGAGCCCGUAGUCUGCCUGGAUAUCCUGAGUCCCCGGGAGUCACCGAGGAAGGGUGCCUGAGUGGGCGCGGAGCUGGGAUCACCAGGAAGGUGGCGUCAUCAUGAAAGGCCUGUCAUCUGCCUGGACGGGACCACCUUGCUCUCUACCUGGGGGUCGGACGUGGGCGGGUCCUGGAAGAAGUGUUGCCCCGGGUCUGCCUCAUGCCCCCGGGUCACUCAGUAAGGUGCAGCCCCAGCGCCAGAGCCUGCAUCGGACAAGACGAGAGCCCGUAGUCUGCCUGGAUGUCCUGAGUCCCCGGGAGUCACCGAGGAAGGGUGCCUGAGCGGGCACGGAGCCGGGAUCCCCCAGGAAGGUGGCGUCAUCAUGAAGGCCUGUCAUCUGCCUGGACGGGACCACCUUGCUCUCUACCUGGGGGUCGGACGUGGGCGGGCCCUGGAAGAAGUGUUGCCCCGGUUCUGCCUCAUUCCCCCGGGGCGCUCAGGAAGGUGAGCCUUUCUCUGUCCCCAGGUCAGCCAAUUGGAACCAUGUGUCUGACCUAAGGCCCUGUGUCCUGAACGUGCUGGGAUCGAUGAUGACUCCCUCCAAAAAAAAACCAAACCAACAUUCCUUGGAAAAGCUGAACAAAAUGAGUGAGAACUACACCCGUCGUCGUUCUCAUCGGUAACUGAGGU